AGAAACAUAAACAAUUAAUUGCUUUAUAAAAAGUUAGAAGCUUUUUUUUUCUGUUUCUUU
rnacentral:tRNA from 1 species